rnacentral:rRNA from 1 species
AGUGAACGCUGGCGGCGUGCUUAACACAUGCAAGUCGAACGAGAACGGGUUAUAGCUUGCUAUAAUUGUCAGCUAAGUGGCGCACGGGUGAGUAAUGUAUAGGUAAUAUGCCUCUUACUAAGGGAUAACAAAUGGAAACGUUUGCUAAUACCUUAUACUCCUUAUUAACAGAAGCUAAUAAGGGAAAGAUUUAUUGGUAAGAGAUUAGCCUGUAUUGUAUCAGUUAGUUGGUGGGGUAAUGGCUUACCAAGACUAUGACACAUAACUGGUUUGAGAGGAUGAUCAGUCACACUGGAACUGAGACACGGUCCAGACUCCUACGGGAGGCAGCAGUGGGGAGUAUUGCACAAUGGACGAAAGUCUGAUGCAGCAACGCCGCGUGGAGGAUGACACAUUUCGGUGCGUAAACUCCUUUUAUAUGAGAAGAUAAUGACGGUAUUAUAUGAAUAAGCACCGGCUAACUCCGUGCCAGCCGCCGCCGUAAGAC